AGCUUUUUUUUUAAUUGGAAAAAUUUAGUUAGGAUUAUUUUGAUAAGAUCGUAGACAUUGGUUGCCCAGUUAUAAGAAAAAGGAUGGCACCAUAAAUCCUCAACAAUUUAGGCCAAACACAUAGGGUUUACUUCUAUGCAUCACCAAUACUGAUAAACACAGAGCAAACCACUUGGCAGCCGCACACUUCAUCUAAGAAAAAAUCACAACAAAACAAUGUCGUACGAUGAUGUAGAAAUUGAAGACAUGGAGUGGAAUGAGGAGUUGCAGUCAUACAGGGAUCCUUGUCCAUGCGGGGACCUGUUCCAGAUCACAAAGGAAGAUCUCAAACUUGGCGAGGAGAUCGCUAGCUGCCCUAGUUGCUCCCUCUACAUCGCUGUCAUCUACAACAUGGAAGAUUUUCUUGGCGGUUCUGAUCAAAAUAGAACAGACAAGGGUCUUCAGCCCUCCAAGCAACAAGCUGUCGCAGUUGCUUGAAUUUCAAGUCUUUCAUAAGUUCUUGUGAAUAUAUUCAAUCAUUACGACUUAGUUUUAGACCUGGAGUGUUCAUCGAUGUAUAUUUUGUUUAGUCAACCGUUUGAAGCAGAUAAUGUGUCUUUAAACUAUUCAACUUUUUAGGACAGCUCUAUAGUAUGUCUCUAAACUAUUCAACUUUUUAGGACAGCUCUAUAGUUGAACUUCAAGUCCUUGGUCAUUUAUGUGAGAAUUUGAUCUGCAUGCCACUUUCAUGAAAGUUAAUUCUCUAAAUGACACCUGCUCAAAAAAAUUCUAACAAUA